rnacentral:rRNA from 1 species
CAUGUCCUUUAGAAUUUAAUUUAAGGUCUAAUCUGCUCAAUGAAAGUUAAAUAGCCGCAGUAUUUUGACUGUGCAAAGGUAGCAUAAUAAUUAGUUUCUUAAUUGGGAGCUGGAAUGAAUGAUUGGACAAGAAAAUUUCUGUCUCUUUCUUAAUUUUUAUUGAAUUUUAUUUUUAAGUGAAAAAGCUUAAAUUUUUAUAAAAGACGAGAAGACCCUAUAGAGUUUAAUAAUUAAUUCUAAUUAGAGUUUAGUAUUAUUAUUUAGAGUUUGAUUAUUUGGUUGGGGUGACUAAAAGAUUAAAAAAAUUCUUUUAUAAAUUUAAUUGAAUAUUUUCAAUUUUUAAAUCUAUAAUUUAUAAAAUUAAAAUAAAUUACCUUAGGGAUAACAGCGUAAUUUUUCUUUAAAGUUCUUAUUGUUAGAAAAGUUUGCGACCUCGAUGUUGGAUUAAAAUUAAUUUUUGGUGCAAUAACUAAAAAAUUAGGUCUGUUCGACCUUUAAAAUUUUACAUGAUCUGAGUUUAGACCGGUGUGAGCCAGGUCGGAUUCUAUCUUUAGAAAUUUUUUUAUAUUUUAGUACGAAAGGACCAAAUAUGAGUUAAAUUAAUUGU